UUUACAGUGAAAAAAGUUGUUUAUUCUGCAAUAAGGUUGGGAAGUUGCCGUGGCUGCCGUGUUAUGUUCCUUCUGCAUUUGUCAAGACAAAUUCCCUUAGUGUUCAUAAUCCAGAUGAUCGCUUCGGCUGGUGCUUCUAGCAUUCUCUGGAUUUUCAUAUACUUAUCGUGGACGAACUUGUGUGAAUCAAGCUGCUGAAAUUGUCGCUGGAACCAGGCCACAAUAUCGCUAGGCCGUUCGUAAAAAGCUACUGGGUCGGUGGAUGGUCAUGAGCAACUCCCAAGAAAAAAGCGGAUCACUAGCAACGGAGAGUUUCAUCGGAACGAGAUGGCGACAGUAAGACACGGGAAUGCAAACU